rnacentral:tRNA from 1 species
AAGAAAGUAGCCCAAGUAUAAGGCAACUAGCUGUUAACUAGUAGAUGCGAUUAAUCGCCUUUCUUU